UACGUAGGUGGCAAGCGUUAUCCGGAAUUAUUGGGCGUAAAGAGCGCGCAGGUGGUUAAUUAAGUCUGAUGUGAAAGCCCACGGCUUAACCGUGGAGGGUCAUUGGAAACUGGUUGACUUGAGUGCAGAAGAGGGAAGUGGAAUUCCAUGUGUAGCGGUGAAAUGCGUAGAGAUAUGGAGGAACACCAGUGGCGAAGGCGACUUUCUGGACUGUACCUGACGCUGAGGCGCGAAAGCGUGGGUAGCGAACGGG
rnacentral:rRNA from 1 species